UUCUGGCCUCCAUCUUUCUCCCAUGCUGGAUGCUUCCUGACCUUGAACAUCAGACUCCAAGUUCUUCAGCUUUUGGACUGUUGGACUUACACCAGUGAUUUGCCAGGGGCUCUUGGGCCUUCAGCCACAGAGUGAAGGCUGUACUGUCAGCUUCCCUACUUUUGAGAUUUUGGGACAUGGACUGGCUUCCUAGCUCCUCAGCUUGCAGACGGCCUAUCAUGGUACUUCACCUUGUGAUCAUGACUGCUGGUAUAGCUUGCCUGGUGGUGGACUUGGAGGAUACCAUUGCAUCAGGGCAUUUCUCCACAUGAUAGCUCCUGCCUGCUGGACAGGUCCUCUCUUGACUAUGUGUAUUCUCCAGAGAAGCAGAUAAUGGCUCUUGUGGGAAUGAGGCUUUUAGGCACUUGGCCGAUGUGGAUCUCAUCUCCUUGCACCUGGGCUGUGCUGCACAGAAUUCCCACAAAGACUCUCACAGAAAAGAAAUACCUCAGGUUGUCCUGCUGGCAUAUUUGGUUUCCCAUCAAGGUCCUUAACAUUUAUAAAAUUGGAUUAAAUAAACCAAUUAAUUUUGAAUAUGAAAAUAAACAGCUGUUAUCAUGGAAAUUGCAUUGAUGUGGAUUCUUCUGAAGGCAUGUCCCUAAAGAACCUGCCAACAAAUUCUGUAAAGGCAGAAUGAACAUUCUGGAAAAUUUAUGUCCUUGUGUAGAAAGCUAGAAAAAAAAAAGAAGAAAAAAGAAACUCUCAGCCUGAAGGCCCACGU
rnacentral:antisense_RNA from 1 species